GACCGGAUGAAUCGGGGAGUU
rnacentral:miRNA from 1 species